rnacentral:rRNA from 1 species
AAUGGGCGGGAGCCUGAACCAGCCAAGUCGCGUGAGGGAAGACGGUCCUAUGGAUUGUAAACCUCUUUUGCCGGGGAGCAACGGGGUCCUUGCGAGGGCCUAAUGAGAGUACCCGGAGAAAAAGCAUCGGCUAACUCCGUGCCAGCAGCCGCGGUAAUACGGAGGAUGCGAGCGUUAUCCGGAUUUAUUGGGUUUAAAGGGUGCGUAGGCGGGCUGUCAAGUCAGCGGUCAAAUGUCGGGGCUCAACCCCGGCCUGCCGUUGAAACUGGUGGCCUCGAGUGGGCGAGAAGUAUGCGGAAUGCGUGGUGUAGCGGUGAAAUGCAUAGAUAUCACGCAGAACUCCGAUUGCGAAGGCAGCAUACCGGCGCCCGACUGACGCUGAGGCACGAAAGCGUGGGUAUCGAACAGGAUUAGAUACCCUGGUAGUCCACGCAGUAAACGAUGAAUGCUAGCUGUCCGGGGCUUCGGUCCUGG